rnacentral:lncRNA from 1 species
ACAGAGAAGAAAUAAGAUGAACUGCUUGUCCCAGAAAGCGAUAGAACUUUGAAAGCAGCUAUAUAUUUCCUAGCUACCUCUAAAAAAUGGAGCUGUCUUCCUGAGACCUGUAAGAAGCCAACAGUUUUCCUCACUGCCACCAUGUGAAGAAGGAUGUGUUUGUUUCCCUUCCUCCAUGAUUAUCAAAUGGAGGUUCCCAUGAUUUUCUUUUUCCUCAUGGAAACGUGUUUGGUCAGAAGGGAAACAAACCAAUUAAGGUGAUACCAAAGGAUGAUCCUUGAUACAGUUAUAUUUUGGUGGAGCGUUGAGAUUCGCCAGUGAACUCUAACAGUGAGGAUGGCACUGGAAUAAAAAGAGAAGAAACAUGUACUAGAAGCCAAAAAA